AAUUGGGGCUCAAUCCCAUGAUCCUGGGAUCAUGGCCUGAGCCAAAAUCAAGAGUCGAAAUCUCAAGCGAUUGAGCCAUCCAGAUGCCCCUGUCUGUCACCCAGUGCCUUUGACUUGAGCAUUUAUUCUGUUUCCAUUCAAAGUAAUUGAUAGACAUGUACUUGUCCUUUUAUUACUUGAUGUUUCUGAAUCUUUCUGAUCCUUUCUUCUCUUUCUCUUUUUUAUGGUUUUCUGGGUUUCUUUAGUAGCACAGUUGAAAUUGCUUGUCUUUAUAUUCUGCAUAUGUAUUAGUGGUGUUUGAUUUGUGGUUAUUAUUAGGUUUGUACCUAGCCACUUCUGCAUAUAGAAGUCUAUAUUAAGCUGAUAGUUGUUUAAGUUUGAACCAGUUCUUUACUCCUCUCCUCCCCGUGUUGUAGAUAUGUAGUGUUCAUAUGUCAAAACCUUUCAUAUUGUGAAUACUUUGACUGGUGUUUUACAGAUAUACUCAUUUUUAUUGCUUUUGCGUUUCACCCUUUAAUACUGUCAAUUUAGGUAUUUCUUUUCCACUUAAAGAGUCCCCUUUAACAUUUCUUGCAGGGGUGGUUUGUUGGUUGUGAACUCGCUUAGUAUUUAUUUGGGAACCUCUUGAUCUCUCCUUCUAUCUGAAUGAUAGUGUGCUGGAUAGACUCUCUUUGGCUGCAGAUGUUUUACAUUCAGCACCUUCACCAUACCAUGCUGCUUACUUACGGUUUCAAAGUUUCUUCUGAAAAACAUCCAGUGAUAAUCUUAUGGGGUAUCCCUUGUAGGUAACUGUCAUCUUUUGUUUUCCUGCUGUUAAAAUUUUUCUUUAUCAUGACAUUUUGUGUUUUAAUUACUAUAUGACUUGGUGUGGAUCUGCUUCUGUUGAAUAUAUUGGGGGUUCUUUGUGCGUCCUGCUUCUGGAUCUAUUUCCUUCCCCGCAUUAGGGAAGUUUUCAUCUAUUUUGUCUUCAAAUAAAAUUUCUGGUUCUAUUUCUCAAGUUCUGAGAAUGACAGAUAGGACAGGAAAGACCUGUUGAAGGUUCUCUGAUGAGUCACUGGAUUUGCAUGCGUGGAGGAUAGAUUUGGGACUCAAAUGAACAAACUACUUUUAACUUCAAAGAACUAGAAAAAAACAACAGUCUACGUCCAAUGUUCUCAGAAGGGAGACAGUAAUACAUAUGGGAGUGGAAACCAAUGAAAUUGAGACCAUGAAAUCAAUAGAAAAUAUGAAGAGGACCAACAGUGGGUUUUCUGAAGAGUGAAACAAAAUUGACAAGACUGUACAUAGACUAUGCUAAGACAGAGAGAGGACCCAAAUCAAAAGAAUUGUAAAUGAAAGAGAAGACAUUACAUCUGAUACCACAGAAACAUAAAGGAGACAAAGAGGCGACUAUGGCCAAAUUAGAGGCCAGCAAACCGACUACCUAGAAGAAAUGAAUAGGCUCUUAGAAACACGCAACCUACCAAGACUGUAUCAGGAAGAAAUAGAAGGUUUGCACAGACCCAUUAAAGGAAGACUGUACCAGUACAAGAAGAUAACCAAUGCAAGUAAAUUGAAUCAGUAAUUGAAAUUCUCUCAGGGGAAAAAAGCCCAGGACCAGGUGGAUUCACUGGUGAAUUUGACCAAACGUUUGUAGAAGAAACUAACAGCAGUUCUCUCACUGAUUCAAAAGGAAUGAACACCACCAAACUCAUUUCAUGAGACUGGAAUUACCCUGGUAGGAAGCCAGAAAAGGAUACUACCUGAACAGAAAACUAUAGGCCAGUAUCCCCGUGAUGAAUAUAGAUGAAAAAUUCCCAAUAAUGUACAGGCAAACCAAAUUCAGCAUCACAUGAAAAGGAUCAUUGACCGUGAUGAAGGGUUUUUUCCCUGUAAAGGAAGGAUGUUUCAGAAAUGCAAAUCAAUAAAUGUGUCCCCUCACAUAAUUGAAUGAAAUAAAAAUGAACCAGAAACAAGACUCUUAACUAUAAAUAGCAAAUGGAGGGUUACUAGAAGGGAGGUGGGCAGGGGGAUGGGUUAAAUGGGUGAUGGGCUAAGGAGGGCGCUAGUAGUGAGGAACACUGGGUGUUGUAUGUAAGUGAUGGAUGACUACAUUCUAUUCCUGAAACUAAUAUUACACUGUAUGUUAACCAACUGGCAUUUAAAUAGAAACUUGAAAAAAUAAAUACUAAAGAAAUACAUAAAUAAAUUUAAACUAAACUAAAUAAAUACAUUUCAAAAAUUAAACAGAAAACUCAUGGGACGAUGUCAAUAGACACAGAAAAAUGUUCUGAGAAAAUUUGGUAUCCAUUUGUGCUAAAAAAAAAAAACUCUUAAAAAAUUCAGUGUAGAAGGAACAUAUCUCAACAUAAGAAAGGCCAUGUAUGUGAAGCCCACAGCUAACAUCAUGCUCAAUAAUGAAAUUGUGAAAGAUUUUCCUCUAAGAUCAGGCACAAGACAAGGAUGCCAUAGGUAUGUGAAAGGGGUUGGGUGAUGCAGGCUUCUGGUUAUGGAAUGAAUAAAUCACAGAUAGAAGAUAUAGUAUAGGGAGCAUAGAGAAUGGUACCGGAAUAGUGAUGCAUGGUGACAGAUGAUAGCUACACCUGGGUUAGCAGAAUGUAUACACUUGUCCAAUCACUAUGUUGUUCAUCUGAAACUAAUGUAACAUAGUGUGUCAGCUAUUCCCAAAUAAAAUGAUUGUUUUAAAUAAGGUAAAGGAAUGAAAUAAAAAGUUUAAUGUAAAAGAAUCUGUUAAUAUCUAAUCAAGAAAUGCAGUAAAGUUGCAAAAUAGAAAGUCACCAUAUCAAAUACUGUAGCAUUCCUAUACACUAACCAAAUAAUCUAAAAAGAAGUAGAGAAAAAACCCCAUUUACAACAGCAUCAAAAACAAUAAAAUAUAUAGGAAUAAAUUUAGCCAAGGAAGCGAAAGAUCUUUCUACAGAAAACUAUAAAACCUGUGUGGAGAAAUGGAUGAUAUUCAGUUUGGGUGAAAGAAAUGGGAGAACACACAAGUCAGUAAAAAGCCAUCCCAUGUCCAUCUUUUGGAGGAAUUAAUAUGGAUACAAUGUCCAUACUACCCAAAGCCAUCUAGAGAUUCAGUGCAAUCUCUAUCAAAACUCCAAUGCAAUUUUUAUGCAAUUAGAAAAACAUAUCCUAAAAUGGAUUUGGAACCACAAAAAGACCCCAAGUAGCCAAUGCAAGAAAGAACAAAACAGGAGGCAUCACACUUCUUGACUUCAAGCUGCAUUCUAACACAAAGAAAUCAGUUAUGUCACUGGCAUAAGCACACACACAAGACAAUGGAACAGAAAUUGAGAGCCCAAACUAAACCCAUGCAUGCACAGUCAACUACUAUUUGACAAGGGAGUCAAGAAUACACAGUGGAGAAGAGUAGUCUCUUGAAUAACUGGUGCUGGGAAAAUUGGAUAUUCACAUAUAUGAGAAUAAAGCUUAGCACCUUAUGUUACACCACUCCAAGAAUUAACUUGAAAUGGAUUCAAGAUGUAAAUGAAUGAUACGAAAACAAAAUUCUUUCUCAUCAUUUCACCUCUUAUUAUGCCAAGACAGAGCUGUUGAGGUGGUGAAGGGCUGGGUAGAGAGUCGUCCUGGAAAUAGAAGCCUGUGUGUGUGGAACAGACUUUCUUUAGUAUUCUGGAAUUAUCCCUCUGAUCCUUUAAGACUAGCCACUUCCUUCCCUACAUUUGCAGACACGGCUAGUACCAUGCAUGCUGCCAGCAAUGCACUGCUUUGUCUCCUCAAACUCCUAGAAACUCUAGGUGGCACCCAGUAGGAAGGGUGGAGUUUUGUGGCACUGAUGCUGCCCUGUUGAAACCAGGGGAAGGGGAAGGAGACAGGUACCAUUCCGGCUUCAUUGGUGUUCAGCUAUGUUAGUGUUGGUGUUGGUGUUGGAUUUUUCACCUUUUACCCUAACACAUCUCAAAACUUUAAUUUCUGUCCUGCAGGUCAACGUGUCUUCCAGAACAUUUCCUCCUUUCCCAGAAGUGCCCUCCAUGUCACACCCCAUGGGCUGCCCUUUAUCACCAUCCGUGGGCUUUGGGCUACCCCCACCUUCUCCAACCUGGUGGCCUCUGGGACCUCACCCUCCACCUCCACCAUCUGGAAAGAUGAUCUGAACAGUAUGAGUUGACUUAUAAAACACGUUUUGUCUUUUUACUUGUUGAGUGUUUGGAGAAGAUGCAGUGAUGGCACCACAGGGCUUUCGGGUCAGCCUGAGUGAGGACGUUGCAAUGUUCUUCAAGUUUCUCAGGGCAUGCAUGAAAUGGGCAGUCAUUUCCACAUAGUGAGCUGGGCAACACGUGUCUCUGAUAGAGAAGGAAAGAGGCCUUAUACAGGCUGACAGACAUAGUACUCCCUAGGAUGUAGCUUGUACAGAGACCAUGUGCUGGGCUCUCUGAGGGAUGAGACACACCCCUGACUUUAUUUCUAGCUAGUUGACACCUGAGCUGUUCACAGAUGCUUGAUUAGUUAUAAAAACACCUGAACCAGGGCCCUGUAAACCUUCCUCAAGGGACAGGAUCAGAUCUCCCUCUUGUCCUCAAGGGUCAUCCGAGGCACCAGAAAAACCCUCUGCCCCUGGUAAGGGACUUGAGAGUGUGAAAGAGUUGAAUAUAAUGAAACAUGUGGCGGACGGUUUGUUUUUCUUCCACACAGUCUAUGAAAGUCAGAAUCAGCCUCCAUCCACCUCCAGCCUUUAUGAGACCCAGGACGUGGUGCAGCUCCCAUGGGGAAUAUCAGUUGUGUCUCUACCAAGGAUGCAGAGAAAGACAAGAUUCAGGCUUGUUUCCAGGAAGAAACCCUGACAGAAAUUCAGAAGAACGGGAGCUGCAUUCAGUUAGGAUGUGGAUAUAUGAAAUGCUUGUCUCAGGACCUUCUAGAAGAAUGAGCUGGGACCCACGUUCCAAGUCCUGCUGGAACCAGAGACUGAGGUUGACAAUUCUUUGUGAUCAGAAGUGGGAUCCAGAGAAGACCACAACUGCUCCAGAGCUGGCUAGCAAACGGAAUUUAUGGAUCAAAAUCAUCCCAUCUUUUCAGAAUGCAUCCCACAGGAGUAUUGGCCUUGGUUGGGGAAUUACCCAUCUAUAGGAAAAGGAAGAAGAGGCAUCCCUUAUCUUAAUUUUCCAUAGCUGGCCAGGAGAAGCCUCAUGUCCUGACCCUGCUAGUUGGACAGGAGAAGAAGCCUCAUUUCCUGGCCCUGCAUUUUGUCUGGCUAUUCGACUGGCAGCCAAAAGCUUUGUCCAUCUCAUGAGAUGCUGGGAGCAGUCACUCUUAUCCAAGCUUGACCCUACCUCCGAGAAUUGACCUUCUCUUCCCUGAUUUCUCUUAUCCCUCUGUUUUUCCCCUGCAGGACUUUGGGGGUAUCGACUACGACCAAGCAAGACUUCCCUUGUUGUAGAAGGAUGCACUAAUUUUAUUUUGGCCCAACAGUAAUUGUCCUUACAAAUAUAUUUUAAAAGGCUUGCGAAAACUAUUUUUUGUAAGGAUAAAAUUGGCUGCCAAGAGGGCUAAGAGGGACAAAGUAGAAGUCUAUUUCCUUGCCUUUUCAGCAAUGCCCACAGAAAUAUGUUCCAGCCAUUUAGAGUAUCUAGGUUGUUACAAAUUGGCAGACACUGGGCUAAGUAUAGCAAAAUGGCUCCUAUGUAUUCUAGUACAAGCCCUUUAUAUAUUAUAGUGAUCUAUCCCUUAAAUGGCACAGGCAUCCAUUCCUGUUCCAAACAGAAACAACCAAAAUGUGGAGCAUUUGGAGUCUGGCAGCGAGGACACUGUCACCACCUCCCCAGCCUUUGGAUCAAAGGAGGGGAAAUUUCAACCAAGGCUUGAAUAAAACAAAUCAAAAGGGCAUGCUG